AACGUAGGAGACAAACGUUAUCCGGAGUUACUGGGCGUAAAGGGCGCGUAGGCGGCCAUCUAAGUCAGACGUGAAAUCCCCCGGCUUAACCUGGGAACUGCGUCUGAUACUGGGAGGCUUGAGUAUGGGAGAGGGAUGUAGAAUUCCAGGUGUAGCGGUGAAAUGCGUAGAUAUCUGGAGGAACACCGAUGGCGAAGGCAGCCUCCUGGGCCAACACUGACGCUCAUGCACGAAAGCGUGGGGAUCAAACAGG
rnacentral:rRNA from 1 species